GUGCAAGAGAGAAGAGAGAGAGAGGGAGAGCAUGAAAAUUAGAGAGAGAGAGAGAGAGAAGAGAAAGAAGGAGAAGAGAAGAAGAGGAUUUUGAAGGUCUUGGGAGAGUUUGAUCAAAGGUGGUGGCCAUUGUUUUGGUGUUUGAGUUCUAGCAAGAGAGGUAACAAAUAGGAUUUCUCUUUGGCACGCGUGGUGAUGUGGGGAGUUCUGACGUCAGGGUGUGUAUGGCAUGGGGGUAUCCUUUGGGCGAACAAACGACCAGCUUAACACCAAUUUCUAAAGAACAAUGUUAUGUUUUUUUAUAUUUUUACUUUUCAGAACUUAUCAGUGGGACUUGAACUUUAUUUAUUUUUAAAACGUUGCAUGAAAACUAUUAUUUUUAUUUUAAACUAUUGGACCCAACUUGCAUGUUUUAGCAAGGCCCCACUGAGAUCUUUCAUAUAAUUAGUGGCUUUCUUCUAUGAGUUUAUGAGCAUGUAAAAGUUUUACAAAGUAUUAGAUUAUGGCGUUUUACAAACUUAAACCUAAAUAAUAAACCAAAUGGAUUUUAUAAAUUUCUAAAAUUUAAUAAAAAGAUUAGUUUUUCCUUGGACAAUUUUGAAAUGAGACUUUUAGAAAUAGUUUCGACCAAGUAAAAAUAAUAAUUUUU